AGCUUUGCGUAGUGGCAGUACUAUAGCCAAUGAGGUUUAUCCGAGGUGCGAUUAUUGCUAAUAGAAGAAGCCCUACAAUCCUUUUGUUAAUCAAGGCUGAUUUCUUACCCAUCCAUGAUUGCAAAGGAGACGGUUCUUUGGGGC
rfam:Canis lupus familiaris chromosome 4, whole genome shotgun sequence.